UACAGAGGGGGCAAGCGUUGUUCGGAAUUACUGGGCGUAAAGGGCGCGUAGGCGGCCUUCUAAGUCGAACGUGAAAUCCCCGGGCUCAACCCGGGAACUGCGUCCGAGACUGAAAGGCUUGAAUCCGGGAGAGGGAUGUGGAAUUCCUGGUGUAGCGGUGAAAUGCGCAGAUAUCAGGAGGAACACCAAUGGCGAAGGCAGCUCGCUGGGACGUGACUGACGCUGAGACGCGAAAGCGUGGGGAGCAAACAGG
rnacentral:rRNA from 1 species